rnacentral:rRNA from 1 species
CCCUUAGAUGUUCUGGGCCGCACGCGCGCUACACUGAUGCAUUCAACGAGCCUAUCCUUGACCGACAGGUCCGGGUAAUCUUUGAAUCUGCAUCGUGACGGGGAUAGAUUAUUGCAAUUAUUAAUCUUCAACGAGGAAUUCCUAGUAAACGCAAGUCAUCAGCUUGCAUUGAUUACGUCCCUGCCCUUUGUACACACCGCCCGUCGCACCUACCGAUUGAAUGGUCCGGUGAAAUCUUCGGAUUGAGACUUUGAUUUCUUCACGGAAAACGCUGUUUUAAAAAGUUGAUUAAACCUUACCAUUUAGAGGAAGGUGAAGUCGUAACA